CAGUUCGCCCCAGGCUCGCCGUGAACAUGCGAAGACAUGCAAUCAAGGCAAAACAACAGGUCCAUGCAAAUGAGAGCGAGACCCUGACAUAUGAAAGCAGCGCGCGCCUCAGGAAAUGCUGUAAUGGGGAAGUUCUCUCUCCCUGUCACAAGACACGGAACAGAGAAGAAAGAGACUCACAGAAGAACUUCUAAAAACAUCCUGAGGAAACACAGCCACAAAGAGAAAGUUGAGAGGGAGGGAGAGGAAUCGUUAGGCUCUCUUCACAAAUGCACCCCUUUAAGAGCAUUGAAGGCAUCAAGCACGCUUCCAUUAGAUAGAAUAUGAACAGAGGCGUCGCAGGCCUUUUGUAUCUCUUUGCACAUUUGUGACUGACAAAACUUACACGGGCUGAUCUGCAGCAGAUUGAGUCUUCUUCCAUGACUGAAAUGAAAUAUUUGUUUUUCCACAAACUGGCAACCCAGGGUUCCCAAACACUACUGGGUAAACUGACAGUGAUUGACAAAAAUUGUCUAUAGCAUUGUUUUUUAGAUAAACAAGUAUGUUAACGUAGCAUGUUUCCUAAAUAUCUGCAAACAUAUUAUAGUAUUGUUAGGCUUAAGUAGAGUCAAAGAUCCACGUACUGCACCUUUAAU